CCAAUAGCGUAUAUUAAAGUUGUUGCAGUUAAAAAGCUCGUAGUUGAAUUUCGGGAUCAAUAUGUCGGUCGUGCCUCGGUAUGUACUGGCAUCGUUGGUUUUUCCCUUCUGAAGAACCAUGAUGUCAUUUAUUUGGUGUCGUGGGGAAUCAGGACUGUUACUUUGAAAAAAUUAGAGUGUUUAAAGCAGGCUCACGCUUGAAUACAUUAGCAUGGAAUAAUGAAAUAGGACGUUUGAUUCUAUUUUGUUGGUUUCUAGGAUCGACGUAAUGAUUAAUAGGGAUAGUUGGGGGCAUUAGUAUUCAAUUGUCAGAGGUGAAAUUCUUGGAUUUAUUGAAGACUAACUACUGCGAAAGCAUUUGCCAAGGAUGUUUUCAUUAAUCAAGAACGAAAGUUAGGGGAUCGAAGACGAUCAGAUACCGUCGUAGUCUUAACCAUAAACUAUGCCGACUAGGGAUCGGAUGAUGUUAAUUUUUUAAUGACUCAUUCGGCACCUUACG
rnacentral:rRNA from 1 species